UCAGGACUACAGCAGAAGACAGCAUCACCUCUGAAGACCCCCCCCCAACUCUGGACGUCCAGCAGCCGACUGCAGGAGUGGGUGUCGGAGGCCAGUCCUCUGUCAUGGAUGACAUAGAGGAGUGGCUGUGUACUGAUGUGAAAGGAGACGAAGGGGAAGAAGGCGUGACCAGCGAAGG